rnacentral:rRNA from 1 species
GACGAACGCUGGCGGCAUGCCUAAUACAUGCAAGUCGAGCGAACAGAUGAAGUGCUUGCACUUCUGACGUUAGCGGCGAACGGGUGAGUAACACGUAAGGAAUCUACCUAUAAGCGGGGGAUAACAUUCGGAAACGGGUGCUAAUACCGCAUAAUAUCUUCUUCCGCAUGGAAGAAGAUUGAAAGACGGCUCUGCUGUCACUUAUAGAUGACCUUGCGGUGCAUUAGUUAGUUGGUGGGUAAUGGCCUACCAAGACGAUGAUGCAUAGCCGACCUGAGAGGGUGAGCGGCCACAUUGGGACGCAGCCACGGACCAAACUCCUACGGGAGGCAGCAGUAGGGAAUCUUCCGCAAUGGGCGAAAGCCUGACGGAGCAAGGCCGCGUGAGUGAAGAAGGCCUUCGGGUCGUAAAACUCUGUUAUAAGAGAAGAACAAAUUGUAGAGUAACUGCUGCAGUCUUGACGGUAUCUUAUCAGAAAGCCACGGCUAACUACGUGCCAGCAGCCGCAGUAA